GAAAAAACAUGAGUUGCUGGUUCUACUGCAAAAGCUGAAACCUUGAUUGCAGGGUUACAGAUUGGUGAUGCAACAAUCAUGAGCAAGGUCAGAAGAGUUGCAGUCAUGCCUGAAGCUGUUCCUCUACCAAUUUUGAGAUUAAAUCAUUACAGAAGAUCAGUUCUUCUAUGAAAUUUAAUCAACAAUGAACUUCUACAAUGUUUCUUGAAGGAUCAAAAGUUCUGCAAGGACAGAAAACUGGCCCAGUUUGUGCAGAAAAAAGGCUCAACUUGGACAUGGUGAGCAGAUUGUCCCAAAUCCCUGACAACAUGUGAGGAGGUGACCUUGUGAUCCAACACUAAGAUGCAAUGAAGACAUGUAACUAGG